rnacentral:rRNA from 1 species
GCGUGUGGUUGGCACACCACCAGAAAGCGAGAGCAGAGAAAAAGAGAGAGAGAGAAUUAUUUUUUUUGUGUUGUGUUGUGUGUGUGCCCAGUUGGACAUCCACCAAAACCUUGUGGCUAAUACACGCAGGCUCGGGUCAGCCACUACUCUACUAUACUACAACUUAUCACACCAAAAACAACAACAAAACGAACACAGGGGCUGUGGUGUGUGAUGAUGAUGCGGAUGACACCCAUUAUUAUGAUCAUCAUCAAGCAUCAUUUGUCGUCGUCGUGAAAGUGUAUUAUUAUUUGCGGCUACCACAAGACACAGAAGAAGGCAAACAACAACGACAACAACAACAGCAGCCGCAUCAUCAAGUGUUAUUGCAAUCAAAAAAAACACCACCAGCAGCACAUCAUGAUGUGGUGUGUCGAUUAUUGUGGUGUUGCUGUGUCUUAUCAUCUCAUAUAUCAGCGUCAGCAUCAGAGAGCAUAUUAUCCAGCAUCAUCAUUGUGUGUGUGUGUGGUGUCACCACAUCAACAUGCUGCUGCGCAAUGUAACAGAAUAAUAAUUUGUUGGUGUGUUUCUUCGUUUUUUGUGCUGUGUUCGUUUUUUUUGGGCCCGCCGACGCCCUGCUUUUUGUUUUGCUGCUUUAUUGGCGUCGGCCGCCCAGUGGUGGACUGCGCCCAGCCGUCAGGAAGACCAGCGCCCCAGCAAAAAAAAACAAAAGGSAAUUGGDAGAKYGGUUGUGUGUUGUGCAAAAAAGGAGYUAAACAGGACCCAGAGACCACGUCAUAGAAUUAGCAGUARKCACAUGUGCUGCUUCWYCCUUGUGUGYGUGUGUGUGUGAGSAMASASGNNNNNNNNNNNNNNNNNNNNNNNNNGUGCAACAGAAGAAGAGAGGGAAGGAGACGAUGAUCCAGGCUGGUCCACUCUCUUUCUCUCACCGCUCUCUCCUCACUCUCUCGACUAUGAUAAUAUACUGUGCUCCCAAAACAACUCCCAAAACCGUGUUGUGUUGUGCGGCAUCAGCGAUAUACAUGUAUAUGCAUAUGUGGAAAUCACCACUGUCCUCGAUAUAUGAUAUAUGGGUGUGAUCAACACAACAGAACAAAACAAAGAACACCACCUGCGGGCGAUCAUGACAUAUAUGUAUAGUGAGGACGUCAUUGUUAUAUCAUCAUCGUUGUCCCACUACUGUGUAAUGAUGUUGUGGGGCGUUGUCGUGUUGUGGAGAGAGAGAGAGAGAGGAAGGGGGAUGGAGAGAGAGAGAGAGAGACAGCUGCGCUGGCAGAAGAUGUGCGAAUAGUGUAAUAAUACAAAGGAUGUAUGCAUACAUACAGGUAUCUUCCUUGCUAUACAUUAUAUUUCGGAGGGCAAAACAACAAAGACAGAAGAGAGGACAAAUGUAUAUAUGUGUGUAUGCCAUCAUUUUUGUGUUAUCACACCAUCCAACAUUUUUAUUGUAUAUGCUUGGUCACAUGAACUUCUGACCUAUCAGCUGUGACUGUGGUGUAGUGGACCACAGUGGCUGUAACGGGUAACGGAGAAUCAGGGUUCGAUCCGGAGAGGGAGCCUGAGAAACGGCUACCACUACCAAGGUGGGCAGCAGGCGCGCAAAUUGCCCAAUACCAACACACUCCUACGGUGAGGCAGCGACGAACCGCAGCAAUCCCGCCAACCCUUCACGCGUUGGCGGGACUUGGAAUGGAUGCGAUCCAAAAACCGUGAUGAGUAUCAACUGGAGGGCAAGUCUGGUGCCAGCAGCUGCGGUAAUUCCAGCUCCAAGGGCGUAUACUAUCAUUGCUGCUGUUAAAACACCUGUAGUCUGCCGCGUGUUCUGUGCGGGGGUACGUACAUAUACAUGCUGCCAUCUCACACCGUGGGCGUGUGGGCGUGUGUGUGUGUCCCUGUGUCGCCACAACAGCAACAAUCGGAUGCGCCGUGGGAACAACGAUGCCAUCUAUCUUGCUGUGGGACACCACAGCAAGAAAAAAAAAAGAGACAAAAGAGAGCAACGGGGAAGGCAAAAAGGCCACGGCGCCAGCGCAGCACGGGGGAAGGCAUCACACGCCAUGUGCACACAGAGGGAGAAGGCAUAUGAUAUAAUACCACGCCCCCGCACCGAGAUAUGAUCGUACGAUAUUGGGGCUGUUGUGUCCCCUCUGGCUGUUUGUGUGUCUCGUCGUCAUCGCCGUGCUCUUCCCCCUUUCCCAUUACUCUCGCCGUGGCUUUACCACCCUCUCGUGGUGCUGCCGCGGUCGCUGUUGUUCUGGGAGAGGGGGGGGGGAAACGACGAGGACACCAUGGUGCGACACCGUGAUGGCCGAGGGGGCCGAACCAAAGCAGCCCCUACUACUCCUGUCUACCGUAUCGUCUCUCUGCGUUCCCAGGAUGGUGAGAUACUCUCUUUUGAUGAUGUUGUCUCGUCUCUUUCCGGCGGCUCGCCCGCUGGAAACCGGAAAACCAGCGCAGCGCGCCCAUUGGUUCUCCUUUGUGGCCACUGCGUUGUAGCAAGUCUCAAAUAGUGCUCCUGCCGAAAGCCCCCUUCACUGGGGGCCGCCCUUGGGCGGUCCCGCCCCACAAGCAGGCAUGAUGCUGGGAGAUGUAUUAUUGUGCUAUGUGCACACAACAACGGAGGCACGACGAGAGGAGAGGGGGAGGGCGGUGUGGUUGUGUGUGUGUGUGUGUGGCUGCGCGCUGUGUGUGUGCCCCGUGCCGUGUCGCGUUGUGUUCGUCUGCGUCCCGCUGCGGCAGCAAAUCGGCUCUGUGCCACCACCACGCCGCCCCGCCCCCGUGCAAUAUGCUGUUGUGCACGUACUUGCGCUGCUGUGCUACUGCUACUAUAUUGCGCCUCUCCGCCGCGCCCCCCUGCUGUGUGUGUGUGUGUGUGCUGUGCUCUUUUCUUCCCCCACACCAUUGGAGCCCACCAUCGCAGACACCGUGGAAAACUCAGUGUGCUUCAAGCGUCCUACUCCGCUUUUCUUCUGUCGAAUCAUUGGCUGGAUGCUAAUCCAUGGAAUGUCAAGGCAUCGACCAGAUGUGGCGCUUUCGUUUAUCCGUAUUGCGUAUUGGUGUUGUGCUGGCCUUGGGGCCCAUCGAGGGCAACAAAGAAAAAAGGAAGGAGGGAGAGAGAGAGAGAGCGCGCGCGCGCGGGAGCACGGAGAGGGAGAGAGAUCGUGCACACCACGCAAGCGCACAGCAAGGGGCAUAUAGUGAGAAGAACAACAAAGACACGAUUGCAUGUAUAUGCACCUACAGAAGAAUGUAUGCAUAUCAUUGCAUUGUGCAACAUACUAUACAACGGACACGAUGGGACCGCUCAGGGUGGAAGGUACUGUGGCGCCAGAGGUGAAAUUCUUAGACCGCUGCAAGACCUGCGGCGGCGAAGGCGUUCUGCAUGUGCGUGUUCGUCGAUCAAGGAUGAGAGUCCGGGGAACAAAGAGGAUCAGACACCCUCGUAGUCCGGCCACCGUAAACCGUGCCAGCCUGGCUUCCGCAGGGAAAGUCCGAUUGGGUGACCCUGCGGGCGCCACGCCCCCUUGACCGAGAAAUCCGCAGCCUGUGGGUUCAGGGGGGAGUACGGUCGCAAGGCUGAAACUUAAAGGAAUUGACGGAAUGGCACCACAAGGCGUGGAGUAUGCGGCUUAAUUUGACUCAACGCGGGGAAUGUUACCAGGUCCGGACGCAGCUGGGAUGGACAGACUGAGAGCUCUUUCUUGAUCCUGUGGACGGUGGUGCAUGGCCGCUCCUGAUUGGUGGAGUGAUUUGUCUGGUUGAUUCCGAUAACGAGUGAGACAUCUCCCUCCCACCUAGCCUCGGGCUCGCAUUUGUAGGGUCUGUUAUCUUUGGGCCAUGGGCGGAGACGUUGCUGUGCGCGGUGCGCCGCCGCCCCGCAGGGUUCACCCCCUCUGGGGCGGUUGGUGUGCCCCCGCAGCAACGCGCUCCCCCCAUCUUUCGUGUUUUGCCCACCCGAGAGCCUUCUUUUUAUUUCGAGAUUCGCUUUCUCUGAGGUGCUGUGUACGCCGCCACAAGUGCACGCAUGCUAGAGCCAACAGCAGGUCUGUGAUGCUCCCAGAUGUCCUGGGCCGCACGCGCACUACAUUGGCACGGUGAAGGAGCCAAUGCUAUUUUCUUUAUGUGUGAUGGUGCCCGCCUCGUUUUCUGCGGGCCCUGGCCGGAGGUGGCUGGGAAACCCUGCAAGUCCGUCCACUCCCGCGCUUCCCCUUUUGGUUUUUCGCUCCUCUCUGGGUGCGCACUGCCUUUUCUCUGUGGUGGCCGUACUGGGGAUCGGCGAUUGCAACUGUCCGCCGUGAACGUGGAAUGCCUCGUAUGCGUCGGUCUCAGCCGACACAGAUGCGCCGU